rnacentral:rRNA from 1 species
AUUGAACGCUGGCGGCAGGCCUAACACAUGCAAGUCGAGCGGAUGAAGGGAGCUUGCUCCUGGAUUCAGCGGCGGACGGGUGAGUAAUGCCUAGGAAUCUGCCUGCUAGUGGGGGAUAACGUCCGUAAACGGGCGCUAAUACCGCAUACGUCCUGAGGUAGAAAGUGGGGGAUCUUCGGACCUCACGCUUUCAGAUGAGCCUAGGUCGGAUUAGCUAGUUGGUGGGGUAAAGGCCUACCAAGGCGACGAUCCGUAACUGGUCUGAGAGGAUGAUCAGUCACACUGGAACUGAGACACGGUCCAGACUCCUACGGGAGGCAGCAGUGGGGAAUAUUGGACAAUGGGCGAAAGCCUGAUCCAGCAAUGCCGCGUGUGUGAAGAAGGUCUUCGGAUUGUAAAGCACUUUAAGUUGGGAGGAAGGGCAGUAAGUUAAUACCUUGCUGUUUUGACGUUACCAACAGAAUAAGCACCGGCUAACUACGUG